rnacentral:lncRNA from 1 species
UUCAGUGCCUCUGAGUGUGGGAACAAGAAGUUCUGCGUCAGGAGUCCGUUGAACUGUGACCCAGAGAAUGAGCCUGCCUGCGUCUUCUUGUCCUUCACCAGAGAAAACCAGUCAGUGAUGGUUGAAAUGAGCGGACCCAGUGAUGGCUACGUGUCCUUUGCAUUUUCUCAUGACCAAUGGAUGGUUUGUAUCUAUUGCUUAUGUCUGGGGUGAUAGCAGGAGAGCCACCAGAGUGAGCUCUCAUCAGCAGUAGAUUAGCUGUGCCUUCCAGAGUUUAGGGAUCAGGCUUAAGGGUAGAAUGGGAAACGAAACUCGAAGAACAGAUCCAUUUCAACGGC